CAGCCUGAUGCAGCGACGCCGCGUGAGGGAUGACGGCCUUCGGGUUGUAAACCUCUUUCAGCAGGGACGAAGCGCAAGUGACGGUACCUGUAGAAGAAGGACCGGCCAACUACGUGCCAGCAGCCGCGGUAAUACGUAGGGUCCGAGCGUUGUCCGGAAUUACUGGGCGUAAAGAGCUCGUAGGUGGUUUGUCGCGUUGUUCGUGAAAACUCACAGCUUAACUGUGGGCGUGCGGGCGAUACGGGCAGACUUGAGUACUGCAGGGGAGACUGGAAUUCCUGGUGUAGCGGUGGAAUGCGCAGAUAUCAGGAGGAACACCGGUGGCGAAGGCGGGUCUCUGGGCAGUAACUGACGCUGAGGAGCGAAAGCGUGGGGAGCGAACAGGAUUAGAUACCCUGGUAGUCCACGCCGUAAACGGUGGGUACUAGGUGUGGGUUUCCUUCCUUGGGAUCCGUGCCGUAGCUAACGCAUUAAGUACCCCGCCUGGGGAGUACGGCCGCAAGGCUAAAACUCAAAGAAAUUGACGGGGGCCCGCACAAGCGGCGGAGCAUGUGGAUUAAUUCGAUGCAACGCGAAGAACCUUACCUGGGUUUGACAUGCACAGGACGUGCCUAGAGAUAGGUAUUCCCUUGUGGCC
rnacentral:rRNA from 1 species